UACGUAGGGUGCGAGCGUUAAUCGGAAUUACUGGGCGUAAAGCGUGCGUAGGCGGUUCUCCAAGUCCGUUGUGAAAGCCCCGGGCUCAACCUGGGAAUGGCAGUGGAAACUAGGGGACUUGAAUCUGGCAGAGGGGGUGGAAUGCCGCGUGUAGCAGUGAAAUGCGUAGAGAUGCGGCGGAACACCGAUGGCGAAGGCAGCCCCCUGGGCUGAGAUUGACGCUCAGGCACGAAAGCGUGGGGAGCAAACAGG
rnacentral:rRNA from 1 species